rnacentral:lncRNA from 1 species
UUUUUUAAGUUCUUCAAAGGAUUUGUAUAGUAACACUAUGCAAAUCCUUGGUAUUUCUUCAAGUUUCUUUUUUACAACAGUAAAAUGACCCCAUAUGUGCCCUUCUGAGGGAUAAUAGCAAAUACAGGUCAUAGUACGUAUGGCAGAGCUUUGACCCAGACCAAACAGCAAGCUAUAAGGGACCCUAAAAUUAUAAGUGUACACAAUUCGAACAGGAAAACCAACGAUCUAAUUUAUAUAUAUACAAAUGGGAAAAUACCAAAUAAUAUUUAUGAACAUCAACGAACGAUAUCUAACUGCUGAACGACAGGCCCCUGAAUCAAUCAGGAC